rnacentral:rRNA from 1 species
AGUGAAUAGAUACCCAGGUAGUCCCAGCUGUAAACUAUGCUCGCUAGGUGUCAGGGGACGGUGCGACCGUUUCUGGUGCCGCAGGGAAGCCGUGAAGCGAGCCACCUGGGAAGUACGGUCGCAAGGCUGAAACUUAAAGGAAUUGGCGGGGGAGCACUACAACGGGUGGAGCCUGCGGUUUAAUUGGACUCAACGCCGGAAACUCACCGGGGGCGACAGCAAUAUGUAGGUCAAGCUAAAGACUUUACCAGAAUCGCUGAGAGGAGGUGCAUGGCCGUCGUCAGUUCGUACUGUGAAGCAUCCUGUUAAGUCAGGCAACGAGCGAGACCCGUGCCCACUGUUGCCAGCAUGUCCUGGUA